GAUGAACGCUAGCGGCAGGCCUAACACAUGCAAGUCGAGGGAGGAGCCUUCGGGCUUCGACCGGCGUACGGGUGCGUAACGCGUAUACAAUCUGCCUUUCACAUAGGGAUAGCCCGAAGAAAUUUGGAUUAAUACCUAAUGGUAUAUAGAUGUGGCAUCACCUUUAUAUUAAAGCUGAGGCGGUGAAAGAUGAGUAUGCGUUCUAUUAGCUAGUUGGAGAGGUAACGGCUCCCCAAGGCGACGAUAGAUAGGGGUUCUGAGAGGGAUAUCCCCCACACUGGUACUGAGGUACGGACCAGACUCCUACGGGAGGCAGCAGUGAGGAAUAUUGGACAAUGGUCGGAAGACUGAUCCAGCCAUGCCGCGUGCAGGAAGACGGCCUUAUGGGUUGUAAACUGCUUUUGCAGGGGAAGAAUAAGGACUACGCGUAGUUUGAUGACGGUACUCUGCGAAUAAGCAUCGGCUAACCCCGUG
rnacentral:rRNA from 1 species